CUACCGGCAUCGCAAGGUGUCGGGAUGGGUUGGCAGAAGUCAGCAGAGGCCAUAAUAGCCGGGCUAACCACUUUGGCGAAGGGC
rfam:Pelobacter carbinolicus DSM 2380, complete genome.